rnacentral:tRNA from 1 species
GCGCUAAUAGCUCAGUUGGGAGAGCGUCAGACUGAAGUUCUCUUCGGCACAAACUCGGGGUAAUCUGAAGGUCACCCGUUCAAUCCGGGUUUGGCGCA